rnacentral:tRNA from 1 species
GCGGUAUACGUAUAGGGGCAAGUAUAAUCGGACUUCCAAUCCGAGGGGCUCAGUUCAAGUCUGGGAUACCGCU